UUUUGUUGGUGGUUGAUGUCCUACUUAUUGUGAUAUAAAUUUUGAAUGAGUUUUUUGUGUAUCUAUUUAGCGUAUUCGUGUAUCUUUGUAUGUCCAAGUGAAAAUUUUGUAAUGUAGAACUUACUACAAAUGUAAGGCAUAGAGUGUGGCUUGAAAAAUUUGAGUAAAUUUUUGUAAUGUACACAACUCACAAACCAUGCAAGCUGAAGAUAAGGGUAAAAGA
rnacentral:lncRNA from 1 species